ACUCCUGAAUGUUGGUGUCUUGCAGACGUUUUUCCACAUUCCUAAAAUUAACUGGAAGAAGCGUCCCAGGCCAGCUGGACCCGAUGGUCAGUUGUCUUCAGAACAGUACAGGCUGAUUGCCUAUCGCAUUGUAUUAGAAUGGGCCCUGAAAGGAGAGAAGCUUGGUCCCGGCAACAGGAGAGUUCUUCCUUCCUGUGUGGUGGAGCUAAUAAGAAGAACAUAUCCAUCACCAAAUGGACAAUAUGCAGGGUUCAAAGAGUCAGUGGAUGCACUGCAAUUGUUUUAGAUCUUUAAAAUUGUAAAGUUUUACUGUACAUUUUCUACAUUGUUACAUUUACCCUUUCUAUGGAAAAUUAUUUGAAACAACAUCGAACAUACAAAAUAGAAACAGAUUUCUGUCCUGUUCAAUAAAACUAUGUUCACAAA